AUUGAACGCUGGCGGCAUGCCUUACACAUGCAAGUCGAACGGCAGCACGGGAGCAAUCCUGGUGGCGAGUGGCGAACGGGUGAGUAAUAUAUCGGAACGUGCCCAGUCGUGGGGGAUAACGCAGCGAAAGCUGUGCUAAUACCGCAUACGAUCUACGGAUGAAAGCGGGGGAUCGCAAGACCUCGCGCGAUUGGAGCGGCCGAUAUCAGAUUAGCUAGUUGGUGGGGUAAAGGCCCACCAAGGCGACGAUCUGUAGCUGGUCUGAGAGGACGCCCAGCCACACUGGAACUGAGACACGGUCCAGACUCCUACGGGAGGCAGCAGUGGGGAAUUUUGGACAAUGGGCGCAAGCCUGAUCCAGCAAUGCCGCGUGCAGGAUGAAGGCCUUCGGGUUGUAAACUGCUUUUGUACGGAACGAAACGGCCCUUUCUAAUACAGGGGGCUAAUGACGGUACCGUAAGAAUAAGCAUCGGCUAACUACGUGCCAGCCGCCGCAGUAAUAC
rnacentral:rRNA from 1 species